AAGAAAGAAUUGGAGAAAAGAUUUGCUUGUGAAAGCCCAAUACCCAUUUCCCUUCCCUUGAAUCCCUAAAACCUAGACACAAAAGAAAAAAGAUCAGAUCUCUCUUUCUCUUUGAAGACACCAACGGCGCUCCUCUCCUCAGAACGGACAACCUCCCUCCAUGAAAUCUCAUCUCUCACCCUCACUCACACAAAAACGUUAAGACUCAAGUUGUUGUUGCUGGUUUGCUGCUGAUUUAUUCAAGUUGUUGCUGAGCUCCAUCUGAAUUUGGCCUUCUCUUAGUGUUUUUCUUGCUUUGAAUAGGUAAGUUCAAACACUCUUGUAUUUCCGUUUGUCUUGAGUGAACGAGUUUCUGAUUUUCACGUAAUUUGGCUUGAAUUCUCAUGUUAGUUUAGCCACAUGGUAGCAUCAGAUUAAAAUGACCCAUUUCUUUAUUUUUACCCAACCCGUUUUACAAAAAAAUCAUAACCCGAACCAUAUUUUCAUUUUUCAGUUUUUUAAAGAAUUUUCUUUUUGUAAAACAUAAAAACAAAAAUUGCAAAAUAUGUUUUCUUAAACUAAGUAGAUACUGAAAAGAUUUUGCAAAACAAAUUGUAAAAACUGAAAAAAAUAUAUGAAAAUAUAAUUAAUGAUACCUAUUUGUGAGGGGUAAAUAGGUGGGUAAAUAAAUUUAUAAUGUAAGAUAGACGGGAAAAAGUAACUUUUUUUUUCUUUCUUUCUUCUCACUGAUUUGGAAUAGGUUUUCUUUUUCCUCACUCAGUUCCGAAUAGCUUAAAUUAUUGCCAAUUUGCCGCCCUCUGCCGGCUGCCGCUACGGUCCUGUCCGUCAAUUUCUACAACGAUAGCUUCUGCACAGGUCCAAAAUGUCUAAGCCUGAAAAUAAUGUUCGCCAGGAUGUUUGUGGCAGCACUAGUCGCCAAAAUACCGAAGCCUAUGUUCAGGUUAUUAUCUUGUGCACUGUUUUCAUUAUCUCUUCAGCUAGCUUACUCCCACAAACUUGUUUGCUGGGACUUCGGGGGGGGGGGGGGGGUGGACAGUAAACUAAAAGUUUCAAUUUUUACGUAGAACUUGUCAGUCAUAAUCUCCAGCAACCUUUUUCCCCUUUCAAGUUUUAACCUUUUGUCAUCCUAGUGAGAAAUGUUGAUGCAUAGGACCCAUAACCAAGAGCUGGUAAACUUGAAUUGUACUUUCACUUUGGAUUGCUCAUCAGGAUGUUAUCUUUGGAAGAAAUCUCAAAACAUAAAAUCUCUGGAAGAAAUCUCAAAACAUAAAAUCUCUGGAAGAAAUCUCAAAACAUAAAAUCUCAAAUUUCACUAACCUGUAUAUCUUUAAUUAAAAAAAAAUAUUGACCUAAUAUCCUAACAUGUAGUCCUCGUUUAAUAGGUAUAGGACUCUUUUUGUGUAUCAAGCCUGGGGCUAAAUGCCCUCAAAUGGACUUUGUAUAGUUUCUAUUGGUCAUUCAUUAUUA
rnacentral:lncRNA from 1 species